AGAGUUUGAUCCUGGCUCAGAAUCAACGCUGGCGGCGCGCCUAACACAUGCAAGUCGAACGAGAAAGGGGAGCAAUCCCUGAGUACAGUGGCGUACGGGUGAGUAACACGUGGAUGAUCUACCCCUUAGUUUGGAAUAACCAUGGGAAACCGUGGCUAAUACCGGAUAAGCUCGAGAGAGGAAAGCAGCAAUGCGCUGAGGGAGGAGUCCGCGGCCGAUUAGCUAGUUGGUAGGGUAAGAGCCUACCAAGGCAAAGAUCGGUAGCCGGCCUGAGAGGGCACACGGCCACACUGGCACUGAAACACGGGCCAGACUCCUACGGGAGGCAGCAGUGGGGAAUCUUGCACAAUGGGGGAAACCCUGAUGCAGCGACGCCGCGUGAGCGAUGAAGCCCUUCGGGGUGUAAAGCUCUUUCGGCAGGGAAGAUGGUGACGGUACCUGCAGAAGCAGCUGCGGCUAACUACGUGCCAGCAGCCGCGGUAAUACGUAGGCAGCAAGCGUUGUUCGGAGUUACUGGGCGUAAAGGGUGUGUAGGCGGUUUUUUAAGUUUGGUGUGAAAUCUCCCGGCUCAACUGGGAGGGUGCGCCGAAUACUGAAAGACUAGAGUGCGGGAGAGGAAAGUGGAAUUCCUGGUGUAGCGGUGAAAUGCGUAGAUAUCAGGAGGAACACCGGUGGUGUAGACGGCUUUCUGGACCGUAACUGACGCUGAGACACGAAAGCGUGGGUAGCAAACAGGAUUAGAUACCCCCGUAGUCC
rnacentral:rRNA from 1 species